rnacentral:rRNA from 1 species
GACGAACGCUGGCGGCGCGCUUAACACAUGCAAGUCGAGCGAGAACCAGGCCUUCGGGCCUGGGGAAAGCGGCGAACGGGUGAGUAACACGUGGGUAAUCUGCCCUCGGCAUCGGGAUAGCCCGGGGAAACCCGGAUUAAUACCGAAUAGCCUCCGGAGCCUUCGGGCGCCGGAGAAAAGGUGGCUUCGGCUUCCGGCUGAGGAUGAGCCCGCGGCGGAUUAGCUUGUUGGCGGGGUAAAGGCCCACCAAGGCGACGAUCCGUAGCUGGUCUGAGGGGACGAUCAGCCACACUGGGACUGAGACACGGCCCAGACUCCUACGGGAGGCAGCAGUGGGGAAUCUUGCGCAAUGGGCGAAAGCCUGACGCAGCGACGCCGCGUGCGGGAAGAAGGCCUUCGGGUUGUAAACCGCUUUCAGGAGGGACGAAGCCACUCGGGUUAAUAGCCCAGAGGGUGACGGUACCUCCAGAAGAAGCCCAGGCUAACUACGUGCCAGCAGCAGCCGCGGUAA